UCUUCCGGUCUUUCCGCUUUCGGCUCGGAGGAGGCUCAGGUGCAACUUUCUUCGGUCGUCCCGAAUCCGGGUUCAUCCGACACCAGCCGCCUCCACCAUGCCGCCUAAGUUCGACCCCAACGAGAUCAAAGUCGUGUACCUGAGGUGCACCGGUGGGGAAGUCGGUGCCACGUCUGCCCUGGCCCCCAAGAUCGGCCCCCUGGGUCUGUCUCCAAAAAAAGUUGGUGAUGACAUCGCCAAGGCAACUGGUGAUUGGAAGGGUCUGAGGAUUACAGUGAAACUGACCAUUCAGAACCGACAGGCCCAGAUUGAGGUGGUACCUUCUGCCUCUGCCCUGAUCAUCAAAGCCCUCAAGGAACCGCCAAGAGACAGAAAGAAGCAGAAAAACAUUAAACACAGUGGAAACAUCACUUUUGAUGAGAUUGUCAACAUUGCCCGACAGAUGCGGCAUCGAUCUUUAGCUAGAGAACUCUCUGGAACCAUUAAAGAGAUCCUGGGGACCGCUCAGUCUGUGGGCUGCAAUGUUGAUGGCCGCCACCCUCACGACAUCAUAGAUGACAUCAACAGUGGUGCGGUGGAAUGCCCAGCUGUGCAAGCAGGGGUGGAAAACUGCUUUAGUGGAAAGGACUGCCCGAGAUCGCUGGAGUGAGGAACAUUCCAGGACACGUGCCCUCAUUCAAGCAGACUACUACAACCAGACCACUGCCAAAAUACCUGACCUUUUAAGUAGGAACCAAGUCUUUCACUCAUUCUUCAUAAAUCAACGUUUCUGGAGUGUGUUUUCCACUGAAUUAAAGGAACUCUCUGCUGUGGACAAAGAACUGGUCUCAGAUUGAAGCUCUUCCCCAGUUCACUGUUCCUGUGAUCUGACUCCCCAGAGGGCAUCUCUACACUUGGGUCUUGGAAUGAUUCUUCAGAAAUGUCUUGUUCAGGUGGUGAUUCAGAUACAAUCUUCCAAUCUGAAGAAUAUUUACAAAAGCAAUUUUAAAGAUUCUUUUGGUGAAAGAAAAGAUACCGAAAGACAAGAGGCUGAAGGAGUCUGGCUGAGCUCUUAUGUAGGACAGGUUCGAUGCUUCCACCCCCUUUCACCCAGGAUGCUUCUGUUCUAAACCACAAUGACCAGAAAGUUUUUCAGAGACAUGAGCACUCUUUGCUCCCUUUCCUAAACAGCAGAAGUUUAUCCUGAACCUGCCUCAGAUGCACUCCUCUCCUUUCUUUCUGACACUCCUCUCCUGUGCUUUUGCCAAGUACUGGGUUGUCUUAAGCUGUCUUCUUAGUCACAAUUCUCAGUGUGGUUUUGGGCAACCUGCUAUUACCAGGUUUGAACAAUUCACUUAAAAAAGCUGAUGACUGAUGCCAGCAGGAUCAAUGUUUUCACCUAUCAAAUCAGCAAGAUUUUUUUUUAAAUGGUUAAUUCUAGAGUGUUGGUAAGAGUGCAGCAUUUGGGAUAUCUCACACUGGUGCGGCUGCAUAAAUGGACAGGCUUUCUGGAGAGUAAUCUGGCUGCAUGUGUCAAGAGUCUUUAAAAUGCUGACAUAGAAUUCCACUUCACUUGCAUUGAUAUCAUUUGUCGUCAACACUGCAUCAUUUGUCAAAUGAAAAGCAAAUAACUAAAUGUUUAAUAACAAGGAAUGACUAUAGUAUAGCCAAUCAAGGGACACUGUUCAGCAGUUAUAAGUCAUGUUUGAAAUCUGUACAUUAUAAUUCCUUUUGUAGAAAGGUAUUAAUUGAAAAAACACUGGCAAGUUAUACAAUGUGAAGAUAAGCUGUGUUGUCUUUGGGCUGUGGGAUUAGGCAGGGGUAGUUUUUAUUUUCUUCAAUGCUUAUCUGUAUUUUCUAAUGUUCUCCAGUGACUAUUAUUUUUAUAAUAAAAGUUAUAAAAACCUUG